AGGACGAACGCUGGCGGCGUGCUUAACACAUGCAAGUCGAGCGGAAAGGCCCUUCGGGGUACUCGAGCGGCGAACGGGUGAGUAACACGUGAGUAACCUGCCCUGGACUUUGGGAUAACCCUCGGAAACGGGGGCUAAUACCGAAUAUUACUUGGCCUCGCAUGGGGUUUGGUGGAAAGUUUUUCGGUCUGGGAUGGACUCGCGGCCUAUCAGCUUGUUGGUGGGGUAAUGGCCUACCAAGGCGACGACGGGUAGCCGGCCUGAGAGGGCGACCGGCCACACUGGGACUGAGACACGGCCCAGACUCCUACGGGAGGCAGCAGUGGGGAAUAUUGCACAAUGGGCGAAAGCCUGAUGCAGCGACGCCGCGUGAGGGAUGACGGCCUUCGGGUUGUAAACCUCUUUCAGCAGGGACGAAGCGAAAGUGACGGUACCUGCAGAAGAAGCACCGGCCAACUACGUGCCAGCAGCCGC
rnacentral:rRNA from 1 species